CGCCCCCGACUAGCCAG
rnacentral:misc_RNA from 1 species